UACAGAGGUCUCAAGCGUUGUUCGGAUUCAUUGGGCGUAAAGGGUGCGUAGGCGGCGCGGUAAGUCGGGUGUGAAAUCUCGGGGGCUUAACUCCGAAACUGCAUUCGAUACUGCCGUGCUUGAGGACUGGAGAGGAGACUGGAAUUUACGGUGUAGCGGUGAAAUGCGUAGAUAUCGUAAGGAAGACCAGUGGCGAAGGCGGGUCUCUGGACAGUUCCUGACGCUGAGGCACGAAGGUCAGGGGAGCAAACGGG
rnacentral:rRNA from 1 species